UCCGAAACUACAGGAGGUGGCUGCCUAUAUAUAACGCAUCGAGCCAACUUGCUUUCUGCCAAAAGCAACAUCCCAUAUUUUUUAAUCUGGAGGUAUGGAGAGACCUGAUGGACCGGAGGAACUAGCAAGAAAAGGAACCCACGCAUCACUAUUCCUCUUGAGCAGUACAACAAGAUGAUGGCUACACUUGAUAGGAUUGAUGUCCUGGCUUCGGGCCAUCGAGUUGCACGGCAGAAUUAUUUUAGCGAUUAGGCAUCGGAUGGAAGGAAGAGUGUAUGUUACUAGAAAUGAAGUGAGACUGAAGAACUGCACGGCAUGCGGCCGUCCAGGCCACAACAUUAGAACGUGUGGACGUCACUCUCCGUAGCAGAUGAAGACGUCAGAUAUGCUAUUAUUAUCGGCGAGUAGAUAAGCCGCAGUACAAAAUUUGUAUUUCCUUUUGAUAUCCAAUUUGUGUUCUUCUCGAUGUAAUCUCGGGGUAAUGAAGGUAUUAGAAAUCUUGUGGGAUAUGUAGUAUGUAAAGUUGAAGUGCCGUAAUGUGUGUAUGGCCUUAGUUCAUCUUAUUAAUUGAGUGGUAUGUAUAGUUGAGAUGGCGGUAUGAUGUAUGCCGCUAGUUGUAUGGAGUAUUGUAGUAUGAUGUAUGCCACUAGUUGUACAAAAUAGCCUGGUUAUAUAAAUUGAAAGAAAAAAUAGAUCUGUGCUUGCUAA